ensembl:lncRNA
AAAUGUCAUACACUUUAAUAAGUACAGGUAGUAUUUACAGUAUUUACAAUAACCAUAUCACAAUACCACCAUAGUAUCCACUACUGUAUAUGUUUCAUUGAUAAACAAGUAUUUACACUGUGGAAUAAGACCAUGUAUACAUACAAAUAAAAAAGAAAACACCACAGAUUUGAUAUGAAAUGUAUUUCAAGGUCGCCUUGAAACAGCACAAGCGUCACUAUGAUUGCGGUAGAGGUACGCUGAAUAAAAUAAAAAUAAAGAUGAACCACUGAACCACACAGGUGCAUCAUGGUCCGAUAUUUGAAGAAUACACUUGAAUACACAAACUAUACAGUUCAUAGAUGUCCCAGUCCAUUCAAACACGGCAACCAGAAAUCAGGACUCAAACGGGGUUGUCCGCAACCGUUGGGUUUCUUCAUCAUCGUCGUCAUCUUCUACAUCAUCGUCAUCGUCACAUCAUAACUUUACACAUUCACGUUUGGUCGUCAGCCUUCAGUAGACAUGGUCACUAAACCUAAAAGUGUUUCAUCCGGCGUGUUCCUCAAACGACACGCGGAAUACAAACGUCACGUCCGGAUAUUUAACAAAAAACAGAAACAAGCGGAACUCUUCCCCCCUCCGCAAAGCGUUCGAACAUCCGCCCCCGUCUGGUAGCUUAAACCUGUUUUAUUCAUUCCCGUAUUAUUACACUACUCCCUUAACGACUUGAGGAGCUUCUGGAGCCCUUCGGGGUUGAUGGCUCCUCCCCCUUCGACGGCCCCGCCCCCUUCAUCGACGUUGAAGUCUCGUUUCUUUUCAACUUUUUUAAUUAUUUUUUUAAAAGGAAGAUACAAACACGACUAUGCUCCACCGUUGCCAAGGAGACCGACCUCCUUGUGAUUGCUGGUGGCUUUUUGUACAACAUAGCAUGUGUUGGGUCUGUGCGUGAGUGUGUGUGUGCGUAUGUACGUACAUACAUGUCCCGCCCCCACCCCUAAACCCCGCCCCUAAACCCUAAACCCCUCCCCCCUAGCCUAACAGGCCGCCCCGGCCCCGCUGCUCUCCCGCCUCCCCUGCUUCUUCAGCAGCUGGAUGCGGUUGUGGACGUAGAACUUGAUGGAGCGCCAGUCUCUGUGGUUGCUGACCAGUAGGGGGCAGAGCUCCAAGCAGCGCUCGCAGUCCGCCUUGGCGGGAACGCGCAGCUCCACGAUGUUCCUCUUCAGCGCCUCACCGUCCAGCUCCAGGCAGAUGUGCUGCAGGCUCAUCCCCCGGAACAGCACGCCCUCCCGCUCGCCGUACAGCACCACCCUGCCCACCCGGCCCAUCAGCGCCGGGUCCCGCACGAUGGUGGCGCAGUUCUGCGUCACGUGGUACUCCCGCUCCAGGAACUCCUCCAGCCGCUGGGUGGCCCUGCCGGCCGGAGCUGGAGCCCCUCCCGCGGCGGCGGCGGCGGCGGCGGCGGCGGACCGACUCGCCCCCUUCCUCCAGCAGCAGCAGCUGGCUGAGGAUGGCCACCUGCCGCCGCACCCGGGUGCCCGUGAGCGCGCCGGGGUUCUUGGCGCCGCUGGCGCGCGCCAGGUUCCGCAGGAGGUCGGUGCCGCGCAGCGGCGUGGCCGGCGAGUGGUACGGCCGGGAGAACACGUAGGGGCUGCCCGGGUCCACGCCCACGUUGGGGCUGGUCUGCAGCAGCAGCUCCAGGCACGCCUCGCUGUGCGGCGGCAGGAUGAGCGGCUGCACGCGGCCCCGCUUGCCCACCACCCCGCCCGCGGCAGGUGGCAGAGGACGUGGCGCUCGAAGGGCGAGAGGAGGGCCUCCGUGCCGGUGGGCGGGGCCGGCGGCGGAGGGGCGGGGCCGCCGGCGGCCGGGGCCGGCGGGGCGGGCGGCGGCGGCGGCGGCAGGGUGCGGUUGCGGUAGUCCUGCAGCGAGAGUUUGGCCACCUCGCACUCGCGGUGGCGGUUGUAGAGGAUGAGCAGCGAGAGGCUGGAGUGGCACAGCAGGCGCCACGCCUCGGCCGAGUGCGGCGAGCGCGUGAGCGACAGGAAGGAGGCGUGCUGCUGCCGGCGCAGGUACAGCACCAGGCAGGACAGCGAGGACAGCAGCGGCGAGAUGUGCUGUCGGUGGGCGCUGGGGAGAGACGGGGGGGAGAACACGGCGGUUAGUAGGGGAGGGGAUCUCUUGGCACCUCACGAUUGGAUUAUGAGGUCAACGAUUGGAUUAUGAGGUCAACGAUUGGAUUAUGAGGUCAACGAUUGGAUUAUAAAGUCAACGAUUGGAUUAUGAGGUCAACGAUUGGAUUAUAAAGUCAACGAUUGGAUUAUGAGGUCAACGAUUGGAUUAUAAGGUCAACGAUUGGAUUAUGAGGUCAACGAUUGGAUUAUAAAGUCAACGAUUGGAUUAUGAGGUCAACGAUUGGAUUAUAAAGUCAACGAUUGGAUUAUGAGGUCAACGAUUGGAUUAUGAGGCCAACGAUUGGAUUAUGAGGUCAACGAUUGGAUUAUGAGGUCAACGAUUGGAUUAUGAGGUCAAUGAUUCGAUUAUGAGGUCAACGAUUCGAUUCUAAAACGAUUAUCGAUGCAAAAAAAUUCGUAAUUUUCAUAAAUAUAUCUAUACAUCUGAGUUUGCUAAACACUUCCUACUUUUGUGAUGAUCAUUGAAGACAUCAACAGAUGAAUUAACUUAUCUAAUAUUUUAUUAGAGAGAAAGCUUUUGUCACAAAUAUGACUUUCUAUGAACAAUGCAAUAAUCAAUGCAGCUUGCAUUGCAACACACUAUGGAAGCAUGUAAAAAAUAGGUUUCAGUUUUCUUUUCUUUCUAAACUUUCUUUUCUAUGUCAUUAAAGAAAAAGCUGCUCUUGAAUUAGAAGGAGUUCUUGUGUCUGGCCGUGAGUUUAAGUGCAUGGUAUGCGUAGGCUGAAUCGCAAUGGUGUCAAGACAAAUCAGAUUGGCCAAUACAGACUGAAGAAGAAAAAUUAAAUCACCUUAAAAUUACUAAAAUUAUCCCUCUCUGGCGAACAGAAUGUUGCAGCAGGCGAACAAAUGUAAAAACAUUUAUUUAUUUUAAUUCAGAUUAUUCAUUUAUCUGCAUCGAGACGGAAUCGUUCUAGAGAGAAUCGCGAUGCAUCGAAGAAUCAGUUAUUUCUCCCACCCCCAGCGGUUAUAGUACUUGUGAUAUGACGGCGUCUACCACGGCUUCUCACCAACCACAAAUCAAGAAGGAUGUUUGGGGACCAUGGCGACGGCAUCAGAAGUUAAAACACAUUCUGCACGCUCACAGGAAAUAGUGAUUCAUUUUAUUAUUUUUAUCUUCUCUAAUAUUGCAGCAAAGUGAGGUCAUCAGAGGGGGAAUCAAUAUCAGAUGGAGAAGGGGGUCUGCUCUGCUUGAAUAUCAUUUCAUUCUGUCGUUUUGAGAGAUGGCCAGCGCACAGCCAUAACUCACUCACACUGACGUCGUUGUGUCGAGGUGUCCCUAUCGUCUGAGCAGAGUCUCCAAGCUAGUGGCAACAUCAAGUCGGCGCUACAAAUUAAGGUUUCUUGCCACCAACGUUACGCUCGCUUUUUCCCGCCCACAAUAUGCUUGGUUGCUAGGCGACAGACGCCACCACUGCACAGCAGGCCACUGUCGCUGAACACCGGACACACACACACACACACACACACACACACACACACACACACACACACACACACACACACACACACACACACACACACACACACACACACACACACACCUGAGCAGCUCUCCGUUGGUCUCCUCCGGCGCGUCCUCCUCCUCCUCCUCGCCCUCGGCGCUCAGCUCUAGCUCCUCCUCCUGGUCCAGGUGGGGCUCCGGCGUGGGCGGGGGCGCCAGCUCCUCCUUCUCCACCUUCUGCUGCUCCUCCUGCUUCUCCCUCUUCAUCCUCUGGCCCCUCCGGGGGGCGGGCGGCGAGGAGGCCGGCGCCGGAGGGGGCGGGGCCACCUGCGGCGGCGGGGCGGCCGGGGGCGGCGGUGGCGAGGGGCUCUUGACCCGGGACGCCGCCUGACAGGCGCCGGCGCCGCGCUUGGCGGCCGGCGCCGUCGGCCCGCCGCCCUUCCUGCUGCCGGCGGCGGCGGCGGCGGCGGGCGGGGCCAGGGACGGCGGCGACAGGGAGAGCGAGAAGGAGACGGCGGGGCCGGCCGAGCGCGUGGCGGGCGACUCCCGCUCCCGGGAGGAGGAGGAGGAGGAGGAGGAGGAGAAGAGCGGCGGCGGGGUGGGGUUGGAGGAGGACGAGGGCUGCGGGACGGCGAAGGAGUGGCCGUGCGGCGCGGCGGCGGCGGCGCAGGGGGCCGACGCGGAGGAGGUGGAGGAGGAGGCGGCGCGCGCGUGCGAGCCGCCGCCGCCGUUAGCGUGCAGGUGCGCUAGCUCCAUGGCGGCGCGCACCUCGGGCUGCCCCGCGUGGUGCUUCUCCAGGUGGCGUGCCAGCGAGCGGUAGUGGCGCCCGCAGUACGGGCAGUGCUGCCGCCGGCUCCCUGCCGCCGCCGCCGCCACGCCCGACGCCCCCCCGAUGUUGAUGUUGAUGUUGUUGUUGAUGUUGGUGGUGGGCGGGGCCAGCGCGCUCACCGGCGGCGGCGGCUGCGACUGGGAGCGGGGGGGCGGGGCCGCCGAGGGCCGCGGGAACGAGGAGCAGGGGCGGCCGGGCCCGCGGGACGAGGUGGCCGCCGCCGCCGCCGCCGGUGUGGGGGGCGGCGGGGCGGAGCUCUUCUUCUUGGGGUUGACGGCGGCGGCGGCCAUCUUGCGCUUCUUGCGGCGCCGGAGCAUGCGGCCGCGCAUCUCCUCCAGGUCCUCUUCCUCGUCAUCGUCGUCGUCGUCGUCUUCCUCCUCCUCCUCCUCUUCCUCCUCCUCCUCGCGGUCCGAGUCGCUGGGCUCAGAGUGCGUGAGGGGGGAGGAGGAGGGGGAGAGCGACCAGGAGGGGGUGAGGUAAUCCGAGACCGAGAGGGAGAGAGGGUGUGGCCCUGCCUCUUCCUCCUGGGGGGGGGGGGGGUCCAGAACAGAAAGGGCGCCCGGUGAGACGCGGCAAACAUCAAACACACACACACAGCCUCCGCGUGUUUAAUAAUGAUAUAAUAAUAAAUUAAAUUCAUGUAGCGCUUUCCUCGUACUCAAAGCGCUUGAGCUAAUGAGGCGUUUAGGUUCAAGGCCCCCCCGUUUGGACCCGUCAACAUUAGAUCGGUUCCAUCUGUUCUUGAUCUAAAACGCUCUUUCAUCGUACUACCACUACGAUAUCAUCACCUCCCCGCGUAUUAACCUCUACCCUAGAAAUCGAGUGCAAGAUUAAUGUUCACCUUCAUCAUGCAAGUGUGCGUGCGUGCGUUUGUGUGUGUUUUUUUUUUGUUAUUAAGAGUAUGUUGUAUGAAUAUGUUCUAUAUAUGCUAUUGUACUUUUCUGAGG